rnacentral:rRNA from 1 species
AAGUCGUAACAAGGUAACCGUAGGUGAACCUGCGGUUGGAUCAUUGACAAUUUUUUGUGACCGUGCUGUGAAGUAAUUCACCGCGCGGGAUCAAUUAACACCCUUGUGAACCAUUGAAAUGUCUAUUGGCGGUCGUGAUUCGUUCCAUCAUUGAGGAAUGUGACUAUUUACUUGGUCUGUUCCUUCUACCUCUGCUAGGAGGGGCUCUGAUGGCUGAGAGCUCAGUUACUGAGUGACCUGAUCAUGGCUCGCCAGCCUAGAUGAAAUACCAUUACGUUUUUUUAAUCUGUCUUAUCAAACCUCUCUUAAUUGAGAAACAAUGAGAAACAACUUUAGACAACGGAUCUCUUGGCUCUCGCAACGAUGAAGAACGCAGCGAAAUGCGAUACGUAGUGUGAAUUGCAGAAUCCAGUGAAUCAUCGAAUCUUUGAACGCACAUUGCGCCCUUGGGUAUUCCUGGGGGCAUGCCUGUUUGAGAACCUUGACGUACCUCACACCCCACCUUGGUGUUUUAGCUUCGGCGAAAUUAUCCUCGCAGGUGCGGGAGUGGAUCUGGGCUUAGUCUUCUUCUUAAUGGAGAAGGAGCCUUAAAUGUAAUGUCGACCGCAUUCUUCACUUGGCUGGGUUGCUUUUUGAAAGACGUGAUAAAAAUGCCUUGAUUGGUGUAUCCUGGCGUCAAUAAAGAAGUAACUGUCCCAAUUGAAGCGCAAUCGCUCAUACCUCAAUACAUUGCCAGGCAGCCAAGACGGAACCUACCUCGUAGGUUUUCACCUUGACUGAAUACCUGAACACCUGGUCUCAAAUCAGACAAGAAUACCCGCUGAACUUA